CGCUUGCCGCCUCUGGUGCUCCGCUGGCAGCGACCGGUGUUGCCGUUGGCCCCCCUGCGGGCUGGCCUUCUGAAGUGGCACCCAAGGUUGCAGGCUGGGUCACGAGCCGAGGCUGAACAUGGUCGGCGUGCCGGUGCCACGUGUUCCCGUCCGGCAUGCGGACGAGUAGCGAUGAGGCGCUGGCAGGAGAUACCACCUGUCCUGCAGAC
rnacentral:lncRNA from 1 species